rnacentral:rRNA from 1 species
GAUGAACGCUAACGGGAGGCCUAAUACAUGCAAGUCGAACGGGUGAAUUAGCUUCGGUUGGUUCACUAGUGGCGCACGGGUGAGUAACGCGUACGCAAUCUGCCUUAUGCUGGGGAAUAGCCCCGGGAAACUGGGAGUAAUACGCCAUAGUUCUACGGAUCUGCAUGGAUUUGUAGAUAAAGCUGCGGCGGCAUAGGAUGAGCGUGCGUCUAAUUAGGUAGUUGGUGAGGUAACGGCUCACCAAGCCGACGAUCAGUAAGGGGCGUGAGAGCGUGGCCCCUCACACGGGUACUGAGACACGGACCCGACUCCUACGGGAGGCAGCAGUAAGGAAUAUUGGACAAUGGGCGCAAGCCUGAUCCAGCCAUCCCGCGUGCUUGAUGAAGGCCCUCUGGGUUGUAAAUAUCUUUUAUCUGGGAAGAAACACUUCUAUUCUUAGAAGCUUGACGGUACCAGAGGAAUAAGCACCGGCUAACUCCGUGCCAGCAGCCGCGGUAAAG